rnacentral:rRNA from 1 species
CACGACUACAUUAGAUACCCGUGUAGUCCUAGCCGUAAACGAUACUCGCUAGGUGUCGGCCACGGUGCGACCGUUGUCGGUGCCGUAGGGAAGCCGUGAAGCGAGCCACCUGGGAAGUACGGCCGCAAGGCUGAAACUUAAAGGAAUUGGCGGGGGAGCACAACAACGGGUGGAGCUUGCGGUUUAAUUGGAUUCAACGCCGGAAAUCUUACCGGGACCGACAGCAACAUGAAGGCCAAGCUGAAGACUUUGCCGGAUUAGCUG